GAGGGUAUGGCUCAGCGGUAGAGCGUACCUUAGCGUGCACAAGGUCCUGGGUUCGAUCCCCAGUACCUCCA
rnacentral:tRNA from 1 species